AUUCCAAUUUCUCUGAAACCUUCGUUUUUCUGUUGCCUGUACAACUUCUGUUGGAUUAAUAAUUAUGGGUGAUGAAUUUGUCAUCCCUUUUUAAUUCUCCUGUAAGAAAGCUUCUACAAAACUUUCAAGAAGUAAUUCAGCGAAGAUGGUUCUGCAUUUCAUCGUCGAUGACAAUGGCGAAGCUUUUUAAAUCCUAAAGGAGUGUUGCGACAAAGAUUGUGGAAACAAAUAAGAACUUGAAAGCUUAAGGACGAGUCAUCCUUUAUUAAUGUGGCCGAUUCUAAAGGAUUCUAGCGAAUAUGAUAUGAUGUGUCUCUAUGCAAAUCUGUCUCGGGGAAAUCGACUUCUUGUCCAGCUGAGAUUGUGCCUGCAGCAAAGAACUACCAGAAUAAAAGCCUACAUGUGGCGCCAUGGAGGAGAGCAGAGUUUGUGAAAUCCAAGUGGAUGUCUCCUCAUUUCCGAGCUGAUUCAAUCUAAGAUACCGAAACAGGUAGAUAUGCUAACUGAAUUCUUUCAUUACAAUAUAUGUGCAAACUCAAACCUGCAAUUUGAUUCUCUUUUUAAUUCACUUUUUUUAACCAUGUUAUGUGUUGGUUUUCCAUGCUAAUUUGACCCCUAUAUGGAGACUGCAUACAACACCAAUCUUCCUAUGAUUCGGUUCCGACGUAAGAGUCUGCACCAUCAUUCGUUCUUCAUCCCUCAAGAUUGAAGGAGGAUUUUCAUACUUACGUACACCAUGCCUAAAAUUUUGGAAUGCAGGUGCUUUGAUAAUCACUGAGACGUUGAAAGUCCAAGAUGCAAACUCUUGAAAGUUAUAGUCAUCCUCCUAGGAAAUCCACAUUUUCCGUGAAGUUGAUCAAGGAAUGAGAGUCUUGGAUAACUGGUAUAAAUUGCUUACAAAUGUGUGGGAUAAAUUUCUUUGAAUUCUCAUUUAAAUAGAACAAUUAUAUGGAAUAUCAUAGAA